UCCCCACAGGCCCAAAAGCAAUAGAGCCAGCUGACCAUGGACUGAAACCAUGAGCCAAAAUAAAUCUUCCCUCCUUUUAACUUUUUUUUUUGUACCAGAGAUCGAACUAGGGUCCUUAUGCUUGCGCAGCAGGCGGUGAAACCACUGAGCUAAAUCCCCGGCCCCAUCCUCCUUUUAACUUGGUUAUCUCGGGUAUUUUGUCACAGUGAUGCAAAGUUAGCCUGUACGGUGAUUUUGAUGGUAAGAAGAUGCAAGGGAGAUAGAAUUUACUUCCCAACUGAGGUAGUAGCUGAGGAUCGGCAGCAUUAAAACUCACCCUUGGAUAGGCAUGGUGGUGCAUGCCUAUAAUCCCAGCAAUCGGGAAGCUGAGACAGGAGGAUUGCCGAAAGUUUGAGGCCAGCCUGGGCUGCACAGUGAGUUCAAGAUCAGCCUGAACUACAUAGGGAAACCCUGUCUCAAAGAGAAAAAAAGAAAAGAAAAACCCACCCUGGGAGACACCCAUGCAAACUGUUUUCACUGGGGUUUAAAGGCCUGACAAAGCAAUUUCAUCAGCUAGAGGUGGGGAGUGGAGAGACAGAGGCAUCUCAAAGGCAAUAGGGAGGAAAAGUCAAAAGCAGCUCAGGGAAGACGAAAAGGUGUGAAAUGGUUGUUUUGAAGAAAGAGAAAGUGAACAAUAUUGGGAAGGCAACAAACUCUGAUAGCACAAAUGCCAAAAGAUCUGGGUCUUUGGAAGAAAGAAGUGGUUAGAAGGUGCAGGUGGAAAACAAAGUGGACAUGGGCCACCCAAAGGCCACUGGGGAUGAGAGGAAAGAUGGCAGAAAAGUCGACAUUGGGAGCCAGCCGGGUUUCCUUUAAAUCAUGAUGACAGGCAUGCUGAGAGAAGACUGAGGAUGGGGAGAUCAGAUGGUGAUGGGCUGUGAUCCCUCACAGGUGUGGAAUGUGGGCUCAAGAGGGCAGGGGCUGGGGAAGUUGGGACAGCUGAGCUAAUGAGUGGAGAAGUUCAAGGUGAGGGUCCAGAUGGAUGAGGCUCUUUUAAAGGCCUCUGGUGGGCUGAGGCAGGAGUGAGGCAUGAUGGGAAGAUGGUAAGCAGUCCCGGCUGCAGGGUGAGAGGUCGUCAGGGACACUUUUUCCUGCAGCCCUGGCAAUGCAAAGGUCUUUUUUUCUGAGGGAGGGUGUCAGGAGAGGAAUUGCUCCUGGGACAGGAGGCUGGGGGUGCCCUUCUGCAGUGGCCUGUGGCAUUGUGGCACUGCAGCAGGACAUGUGAGGAUGUGAACUCGUCUGCCCGUGGCACAUUGUUACUGAUGUUGUCUUUUUAAAGUAACUAGUUAGACAACAUAGUCCCCACAUGACCUGCGUGACUCGAUAUCCCAUACUCAGCAUUUCCCAAGAUAAAACAAUAGUGUUUUGAACCCCAAAUAGCAUAUAUGCUGGAGUGUAAGGUGUCCUGAAAAUGAUACUAUGUGUACUGUAAAGGUUCUUUCUCUGCCCAAAAGAUCAACUAACUUAAUUUCUUUAACUUGUGUGAUGCAGGAGAAAUAUUUUAAUGUCUAUUAAUAUUUCACUAGUAAGUUAAUUAAAAUAUACAUUUAAGGGGUCAGGGAUUUAGCUCAGUGGUUCCGCCUCCUGCCUUGCAAGCACAAGGUCCUGAGAUCAAUCCCU
ensembl:lncRNA